CAAAAGUUAGAUAGAAGUAGUUGAUUUUUGUAACGAGUGAUAGAUAGAUACACUAACUAGUAGGAGUACUAGUCGAAUUUGUGUUUGUUAAUGAGCACAAGAAAACAAAAUGAGGUUAUUAAAAUUAUUAUUAAGGUCGUGCAAUUCAAAAGAUAAUUAAAAUCAGAAUAUGGCAUUGCAAGGAUUAAGUACUGCAGCUGUAGCGGUAUCGGUAGGUCCUCCUUCUCUUCUUCGAGCUAGAGUCUACAGCGUCACGUCAUCAACGUCGAGGUUAUGCUGUGGCGGUCGGACUCGUUAUUCGGGAAUCAGAUUCGGCUGUAAAGCCGUCGGAGAAAACCAGCAAGGUUCAUUGGACGAUAACGUAGUUUAUAACGGUAUUUAUGGCCCUUGGUCCGUUGAUUCCUCCGAUGUUCGAGAGGUUAUUUUGUACAGAUCAGGAUUGGUGACAGCUGCUGCAUCCUUUGUCAUGGCUGCAUCUACUGCCUAUUUGCCCGAUAACCUUAGUGAUAUUCUCAAGCAAAACCUUGAUUUUUUUUAUAUCCUUGGGUCAGGUGGGUUGGGUUUAUCAUUAUUCUUGAUUCAUAUCUAUGUCACUGAAAUCAAGCGAACCAUACAAGCAUUUUGGGGACUUGGGGUUCUUGGAUCAGCUGCAACCUACAUCGCCCUUGCUCAACCAGCUAAUAAAACUCUAGUACAAUAUGUUGUUGAUCACCCAUCAGCUGUCUGGCUUGUCGGUCCUCUUUUUGCUGCUUUGACAGGACUUGUUUUCAAGGAAGGACUGUGUUACGGCAAGCUAGAAGCUGGAGCUCUCACGUUUAUUAUUCCUAUACUUCUUCUUGGGCAUCUGACAAAUUUUACGCUAAAAUUUGCAGAGCGGUUUGAUGGAUGAUGGAGCUAAACUUACUUUGCUUGCUUUAUGGAUGGGUCUUUUUGUGAUAUUUGCCGGAAGGAAGUUUACCCAGCCCAUCAAGGAUGACAUCGGUGACAAGUCUGUUUUUGUGUUCAAUUCACUCCGUGAUGACGAAAAGACAGCCUUGAUUAAGAAAUUGGAACAACAAAAAACUCAGUAUUAAGCGUAUCAGCUGCAAUACACCUUAAGGUGGAUUUCAGUAACUCUUAGGAGCUUUUUUCUAAAAGAUGAUGGCACGCAAAGCUAUGUGAGCAGAGCCUGCAAUUCUCUUAUGAGGGAGACGGCACUUUCCCAUUAUGUCUUCCUUUUGUUCUUGUAAAAAUUGUAUGCCACGUCUUCCUUUCGUCCCUGUAAAAAUUGUAUGCUAUAUUGCCUAAUGACAAUUUAGUACAGCAGUGUAGACUUGUUUUAGAUAGUAUCUCAUAAUCUUAUCUUAAUCUUAAUAAUAUAUAAA